GGGGGGGGGGGGGGGGGGGGGGGGCGGAGGCGAGUCGAGCGGCGGCAGAGUAAGAGCUUGCUCGUACGGGUGGCGAGUGGCGGACGGGUGGGGAAUACAUCGGAAUCUACUUUUUCGUGGGGGAUAACGUAGGGAAACUUACGCUAAUACCGCAUACGACCUACGGGUGAAAGCAGGGGAUCUUCGGACCUUUCGCGAUUGAAUGAGCCGAUGUCGGAUUAGCUAGUUGGCGGGGUAAAGGCCCACCAAGGCGACGAUCCGUAGCUGGUCUGAGAGGAUGAUCAGCCACACUGGAACUGAGACACGGUCCAGACUCCUACGGGAGGCAGCAGUGGGGAAUAUUGGACAAUGGGCGCAAGCCUGAUCCAGCCAUACCGCGUGGGUGAAGAAGGCCUUCGGGUUGUAAAGCCCUUUUGUUGGGAAAGAAAAGCAGCAGGUUAAUACCCCGCUGUUCUGACGGUACCCAAAGAAUAAGCACCGGCUAACUUCGUG
rnacentral:rRNA from 1 species